UGGUUGACACAUUAGGAUUCU
ensembl:piRNA 21ur-7550 ncRNA